ACACAUGCAACACUAUUAUCCUUCCAAGUACCUUGAAAACAGUACUGGGAAUGUUUUCGUAUAGCGUAGGCAUGUUUUCAUUUUCUUUCUUUUUUCAGGGAAUUGCAUGGUAAUGUCACUCUCCCUAAAUAACAAUACAGUGUGCAAAGCCAAAUAAUAUGGUCUGCAAAAGCACACCAACACAGGUCACUGGAAUGACCGAUAUGAAGGCUUGGAUGGUUGAAAGUCACACAUUCAGUUCCCGUUAAUGACUUUGAGCCUCGAGGCCUCAGACAGGAGCCUGCAGACCUUCGGAUUGAUCCCCUCCUGUCUCCUUCAGAAUUUCUCCUUUCAUGAAGGAAAGUUCAGUGGUUUUGGAUCUACAUGAAGACAACCCAACAGACGGACGAGGAGAGUCAACAUCUGCGUAUUGAGGUUGACUCGUCUGUCAGCGUAAUAACCGCAUCUCAACAACUGCGCACCAUCAUUGGAGAGAAAUGGUACUUGCUGGAGGUCUUGAGGCCUUUUGUGAGGUUUUUUUUAUCUGUCUGGGUCAAAGGAUUGUGCGAUAAUGGCCAGACUUUAAAAGAAAUAGAGGAAAGAAGAACAUGUUUGCAGUUAGUCAACAGGUUGUAUUCGGAGUAAGAUGGAUUGCCACAUGAUGGGAUCAAACGCAAUUAAGGCAAUUAACUUAAUUCAGCGCUAACAGAAUUAGCUUUUCUUAUUCUAAAGACUAAUUAGCACAUGUUGCUGAGAGGAAAUUGGCUGCAGUAAACAAACUGUGAGAUACUGAAU